AAUGAACGCUGGCGGCAUGCCUAACACAUGCAAGUCGAACGAAGGCCCGAUUUCGGUUGGGUCCUUAGUGGCGCACGGGUGCGUAACGCGUGGGAAUCUGCCCCUCGGUUCGGAAUAACAGUUAGAAAUGACUGCUAAUACCGGAUGAUGACGUAAGUCCAAAGAUUUAUCGCCGAGGGAUGAGCCCGCGUAGGAUUAGCUAGUUGGUGUGGUAAGAGCGCACCAAGGCGACGAUCCUUAGCUGGUCUGAGAGGAGGAUCAGCCACACUGGGACUGAGACACGGCCCAGACUCCUACGGGAGGCAGCAGUGGGGAAUAUUGGACAAUGGGCGAAAGCCUGAUCCAGCAAUGCCGCGUGAGUGAUGAAGGCCUUAGGGUUGUAAAGCUCUUUUACCCGGGAUGAUAAUGACAGUACCGGGAGAAUAAGCUCCGGCUAACUCCGUGCCAGCAGCCGCCGUAA
rnacentral:rRNA from 1 species